rnacentral:rRNA from 2 species
UGGGGAAUAUUGCACAAUGGGCGAAAGCCUGAUGCAGCGACGCCGCGUGGGGGAUGAAGGCCUUCGGGUUGUAAACUCCUUUCGCCAGGGACGAAGCGAAUAUGUGACGGUACCUGGAGAAGAAGCACCGGCUAACUACGUGCCAGCAGCCGCGGUAAUACGUAGGGUGCGAGCGUUGUCCGGAAUUACUGGGCGUAAAGAGCUCGUAGGUGGUUUGUCACGUCGUCUGUGAAAUCCCGGGGCUUAACCUCGGGCGUGCAGGCGAUACGGGCAUAACUUGAGUGCUGUAGGGGAGACUGGAAUUCCUGGUGUAGCGGUGAAAUGCGCAGAUAUCAGGAGGAACACCAAUGGCGAAGGCAGGUCUCUGGGCAGUAACUGACGCUGAGGCACGAAAGCGUGGGGAGCAAACAGG